AUUUUGGUGGCCGGGCGCGGAGGUGAUUCCACACUGAAGGGAGCGCGGCGGCCAGGGUGGUAGUGGCAGUGUUCGUGUGCUCAGGUCUGAAUCGCCGAGGGAGGAGGCGGUGGAGGAAGAGGUGGCGGCGGUGGCGGUGGUCGUAGCGGUGGCGGAGGAGGCGGGUACGAAUCAGCUGCGGGCGGAGACAUGGCCAACAUCGCGGUGCAGCGAAUCAAGCGGGAGUUCAAGGAGGUGCUGAAGAGCGAGGAGGAGGAAGAUACCAACUAGAGAUAAAAAUACCAGAAACAUACCCAUUUAAUCCCCCUAAGGUCCGGUUUAUCACUAAAAUAUGGCAUCCUAAUAUUAGUUCCGUCACAGGGGCUAUUUGUUUGGAUAUCCUGAAAGAUCAAUGGGCAGCUGCAAUGACUCUCCGCACGGUAUUAUUGUCAUUGCAAGCACUAUUGGCAGCUGCAGAGCCAGAUGAUCCACAGGAUGCUGUAGUAGCAAAUCAGUACAAACAAAAUCCCGAAAUGUUCAAACAGACAGCUCGACUUUGGGCACAUGUGUAUGCUGGAGCACCAGUUUCUAGUCCAGAAUACACCAAAAAAAUAGAAAACCUAUGUGCUAUGGGCUUUGAUAGGAAUGCAGUAAUAGUGGCCUUGUCUUCAAAAUCAUGGGAUGUAGAGACUGCAACAGAAUUGCUUCUGAGUAACUGAGGCAUAGAGAGCUGCUGAUAUAGUCAAGCUUGCCUCUUCUUGAGGAGCACCAACAUCUGUUAUUUUUAGGAUUCUGCAUAGAUUUCUUUUAAACUGGCAUUCUUGCCUAAUGAUGUUAUCUAGGCACCAUUGGAGACUGAAAAAAAAAAAAUCCCUGCUCUGUAAAUAAAGCUA
rnacentral:sRNA from 1 species